rnacentral:lncRNA from 1 species
UCAAACACACCUCUUCUCUUAAACCCACCUCUUCUCUUCCUUCGUUCUCUCUCUUUUUUAAAUUCCAGAUGGAUCUACUAUCUCUUUAGUGAUUCACCCUUAAAUCAAAUAAGAACAAGAAAUCAAUUUGUUUCCUUAUGUCGAUUCAAGCUUGCGCUGUGUUAUUGGUGGUAGCAUAUGGUGAUGGCGGAAGAUUCUAGGAUUCUGGUGUUUAAGCAACAUCAGAGAAGGCGGCCAAGUAUCAGGGUUUCGGCCGUCAGUCUACAAAAUGAUUGAGCAAGGUUUGCCAUUUAGGUGCUGAUAAUACAUUGAUUACAAGGUAAAGUUAGCUGAGUAAUGAUGCAGUUUCAGAUUUGUAGCUUGAUUAUUCAUUAUCAAAUUAAUCCUUGAAUAGUUCGUAGUUUAAAGUGUUGAUUACCGUGGAGGGUGGACAUAAAGAACGAAAGACUGGAAAUUGCACCAGCAAGGGAAUCUAGGGGCUGAAAUUAAUGACUCACUGGAUCAUGAUAUGGCAAUGCUUGUUUUUUUAAUACAAUUAUGGUCAUCACACUUAUCAUAAGGUAAUGGGUAAUACAAUUAUGAAUCUAGAUUUGUUCGUACGAAU